CAUAUCAAUAAGCGGAGGAAAAGAAACUAACAAGGAUUCCCCUAGUAACUGCGAGUGAAGCGGGAAAAGCUCAAAUUUAAAAUCUGUCAGUCUUUGGCUGUCCGAGUUGUAAUCUAGAGAAGUGUUAUCCGCGCUGGACCGUGUACAAGUCUCCUGGAAUGGAGCGUCAUAGAGGGUGAGAAUCCCGUCUUUGACACGGACUGCCAGGGCUUUGUGAUGCACUCUCAAAGAGUCGAGUUGUUUGGGAAUGCAGCUCAAAAUGGGUGGUAAAUUCCAUCUAAAGCUAAAUAUUGGCGAGAGACCGAUAGCGAACAAGUACCGUGAGGGAAAGAUGAAAAGAACUUUGGAAAGAGAGUUAAACAGUACGUGAAAUUGCUGAAAGGGAAACGCUUGAAGUCAGUCGCGUUGUCCAGGGAUCAACCUUGCUUUUGCUUGGUGUACUUUCUGGUUGACGGGUCAGCAUCAAUUUUGACUGUUGGAAAAAGGUCAAGGGAAUGUUGCAUCUUUAGAUGUGUUAUAGCCCUUGGUUGCAUACAAUGGUUGGGAUUGAGGAACUCAGCACGCCGCAAGGCCGGGUAUUAACCACGUACGUGCUUAGGAUGCUGGCAUAAUGGCUUUAAUCGACCCGUCUUGAAACACGGACCAAGGAGUCUAACAUGCCUGCGAGUGUUUGGGUGGAAAACCCGAGCGCGUAAUGAAAGUGAAAGUUGAGAUCCCUGUCGUGGGGAGCAUCGACGCCCGGACCAGACCUUUUGUGACGGUUCCGCGGUAGAGCAUGUAUGUUGGGACCCGAAAGAUGGUGAACUAUGCCUGAAUAGGGUGAAGCCAGAGGAAACUCUGGUGGAGGCUCGUAGCGAUUCUGACGUGCAAAUCGAUCGUCAAAUUUGGGUAUAGGGGCGAAAGACUAAUCGAACCAUUCUAGUAGCUGG
rnacentral:rRNA from 1 species